AACGAACGCUGGCGGCAUGCCUAACACAUGCAAGUCGAGCGCCCGUAGCAAUACGGGAGCGGCGCACGGGUGAGUAACGCGUGGGAACCUGCCCAGAGGUCUGGGACAACCGCGGGAAACUGCGGCUGAUACCGGAUGAUUCCUGAGGGACAAAGAUUUAUCGCCUUUGGAGGGGCCCGCGUCGGAUUAGGUAGUUGGUGGGGUAACGGCUCACCAAGCCUAUGAUCCGUAACUGGUCUGAGAGGAUGACCAGUCACACUGGGACUGAGACACGGCCCAGACUCCUACGGGAGGCAGCAGUGGGGAGUAUUGGACAAUGGGGGGCAACCCUGAUCCAGCAAUGCCGCGUGCAGGAAGACGGCCCUCUGGGUUGUAAACUGCUUUUAACUGGGAAGAAAGCAGCUCAUGCGUGAGAAUUUGACGGUACCAGUUGAAUAAGCCACGGCUAACUACGUGCCAGCAGCCGCGGUAAU
rnacentral:rRNA from 1 species